rnacentral:rRNA from 1 species
AGUGAACGCUGGCGGUAGGCCUAACACAUGCAAGUCGAACGGCAGCACAGCAAGAGCUUGCUCUUACGGGUGGCGAGUGGCGGACGGGUGAGGAAUACAUCGGAAUCUACUUUUUCGUGGGGGAUAACGUAGGGAAACUUACGCUAAUACCGCAUACGACCUACGGGUGAAAGCAGGGGAUCUUCGGACCUUGCGCGAUUGAAUGAGCCGAUGUCGGAUUAGCUAGUUGGCGGGGUAAAGGCCCACCAAGGCGACGAUCCGUAGCUGGUCUGAGAGGAUGAUCAGCCACACUGGAACUGAGACACGGUCCAGACUCCUACGGGAGGCAGCAGUGGGGAAUAUUGGACAAUGGGCGCAAGCCUGAUCCAGCCAUACCGCGUGGGUGAAGAAGGCCUUCGGGUUGUAAAGCCCUUUUGUUGGGAAAGAAAAGCAGCAGGUUAAUACCCCGCUGUUCCGACGGUACCCAAAGAAUAAGCACCGGCUAACUUCGUG